CAGCAGCCGCGGGAAUACGGAGGGUGCAAGCGUUAAUCGGAAUUACUGGGCGUAAAGCGCACGCAGGCGGUCUGUCAAGUCAGAUGUGAAAUCCCCGGGCUUAACCUGGGAACUGCAUUUGAAACUGGCAGGCUAGAGUCUUGUAGAGGGGGGUAGAAUUCCAGGUGUAGCGGUGAAAUGCGUAGAGAUCUGGAGGAAUACCGGUGGCGAAGGCGGCCCCCUGGACAAAGACUGACGCUCAGGUGCGAAAGCGUGGGGAGCAGACAGGAUUAGAUACCCCCGUAGUACCUGUCUCUUAUAC
rnacentral:rRNA from 1 species